GAUAAGAAGGAUGGCAAGGUGAACAAAGGUAUAUGUGAUAUACAUGUUAUUGAUGUGUACCUUACUAAUGCUCGCAGUAGCACCUGGAUAUUUGAUACUGGUUCUGUUGCUAAUAUUUGCAACUCGAAACAGGGACUACGGAUUAAGCGAAGAUUGGCUAAGGACGAGGUGACGAUGCGCGUGGGAAACAGUUCCAAAGUCGAUGUGAUCGCAGUCGGCACGCUACCUCUACAUCUACCUUCGGGAUUAAUAUUAGACCCAAAUAAUUGUUAUUUGGUGCCAGCGUUAAGCAUGAAAAUUAUAUCUGGAUCUUGUUUGAUGCGAGACAGUUAUUCAUUUAAAUCAGAGAAUAAUGGUUGUUCUAUUUAUAUGAGUAAUAUCUUUUAUGGUCAUGCACCCUGGAAGAGUGGUCUAUUCUUAUUGAAUCUCGAUAGUAGUAACACACAUAUUCAUAAUGUUGAAACCAAAAGAUGCAGAGUUGAUAAUGAUAGUGCAACUUAUUUGUGGCACUGCCAUUUAGGUCAUAUC
rnacentral:rRNA from 1 species